rnacentral:rRNA from 1 species
UGGGGAAUAUUGCACAAUGGGGAAAGCCCUGAUGCAGCGACGCCGCGUGAAGGAAGAAGUAUCUCGGUAUGUAAACUUCUAUCAGCAGGGAAGACAAUGACGGUACCUGACUAAGAAGCCCCGGCUAACUACGUGCCAGCAGCCGCGGUAAUACGUAGGGGCAAGCGUUAUCCGGAUUUACUGGGUGUAAAGGGAGCGUAGGCGGUAAGGCAAGUCUGAUGUGAAAACCCAGGGCUCAACCCUGGGACUGCAUUGGAAACUGUUUAACUGGAGUGUCGGAGAGGCAAGUGGAAUUCCUAGUGUAGCGGUGAAAUGCGUAGAUAUUAGGAGGAACACCAGUGGCGAAGGCGGCUUACUGGACGGUAACUGACGUUGAGGCUCGAAAGCGUGGGGAGCAAACAGGAUUAGAUACC